rnacentral:lncRNA from 1 species
UGGUGUGAGAGGAAGUCCAGGGGUUCUCACCAUUCGCUACUCAAUGUCUUCUCUACCAUGGAAAACAACAUGGUCCCACUCAGAUGUACCAGUGGCUGGUGGCUUGACUUGGUAUCUUGUCACUCCUGGUGACUGUCUGGGAAAAGCUGGAUCUAGAACAGAUGCUUAAGAAUGUGUUGAGCAAAACUAAUGGCUGCAGGCAUCAUUGAAAGUGAGACUGGAUGAAUGAAGGUGAUGGACGACUGAAGAAGCAUUAUUCAUACAAGCCCGG